AUGGACAAUGUUGGAGAACCACCACCCUGCCCCUGCACAACUGGUCCUCCAUGGAGGGUGAAGGUUGCUGGUCAGUGGUCACGGCCAGUCCUUGUAGAUGACUGGCCUGGGUAAAUCCCUCCCAUUGACCUGCCAACAGCACUCAAGUCUCAACUA